UACGAAGGGGGCUAGCGUUGCUCAGAAUCACUGGGCGUAAAGCGCACGUAGGCGGGUCGUUAAGUCAGGGUGAAAUCCUGGAGCUCAACUCCAGAACUGCCCUUGAUACUGGCGAUCUCGAGUUCGGGAGAGGUGAGUGGAACUGCGAGUGUAGAGGUGAAAUUCGUAGAUAUUCGCAAGAACACCAGUGGCGAAGGCGGCUCACUGGCCCGAUACUGACGCUGAGGUGCGAAAGCGUGGGGAGCAAACAGG
rnacentral:rRNA from 1 species